rnacentral:rRNA from 1 species
UACAGAGGUCCCAAGCGUUGCUCGGAUUCACUGGGCGUAAAGGGUGCGUAGGCGGUCGGGUAAGUCUGAUGUGAAAUCUCCAAGCCUAACUUGGAAACUGCAUUGGAUACUAUCCGGCUAGAGGAAUGGAGGGGAGACUGGAAUACUUGGUGUAGCAGUGAAAUGCGUAGAUAUCAAGUGGAACACCAGUGGCGAAGGCGAGUCUCUGGACAUUUCCUGACGCUGAGGCACGAAAGCCAGGGGAGCAAACGGG